rnacentral:rRNA from 1 species
AGUCUUAAAACUAAAAAAAUUUGGCGGUAUUUUAAUCUUAUUAGAGGAACUUGUUCUAUAAUCGAUAUUCCUCGUUUAAUUUUACUAAAUUAUUUAUAUAUCGUUGUUGAAAGAAUAAAUUUUCUAAAAUUUUUAUUAAAAUUUAUAUCAAAUCAAGGUGUAGUUUAUAAUUUAGUAGAAAUGAGUUACAAUAAAUGUAUUUAGGAUUUUAAUGAAAGUGGAUUUAAUAGUAAAUUAAUUUUAAUAAAAUUAAUUGAUUUUAGUUCUAAAAUAUGU